AUUACAACGAAGAGUUUGAUCCUGGCUCAGGAUGAACGCUAGCGAUAGGCUUAACACAUGCAAGUCGAGGGGCAGCACGGGUUAUCGGCGACGAUUUCCUGGUGGCGACCGGCGCACGGGUGA
rnacentral:rRNA from 1 species